UCAAGCACAGUGAUAUCAAGUUCAAAUUUAACUGUGCUUCAAAUUCAGCAACUGAAAUCUCUCUUAGCAGGUCAAGGUCAACAUAGCUGACAUAAACCUGAUAUGUGGAUCAGAGAUGGUUUUCGUGGAGGACAUGGGCAUAUUCAAGACUCUUUUAAGAGAACAGUUCUCCUUUAUGUCCCAGUCAAGAGAAAGAGGAACCAAGCCCUGUGUGAAAAACUUGGUCCCGAGUCCAUGUGGUCUGAGAAGAGAAUGAAAGUUUUUUGCAAUAAGUUUUGAUGAUGGUCUAUCUUCAGUUGGCCCAUAUCAAAAGAGCUGCUGUUAGAGGAGGAAAGGCUGACAGGGUAACACUCAAAAUUAUUUGAAGUCCAACUCACAUUUGGAACUCACCAGACUUCAGAUUUUAACUCUUCUCCAGAUUAAUUCUCUUGGCCAACUUUUGGGUUCCAUGGAUUUUAUCUAGAUAGGUAAGACCUUUAGUUUUAUGUAUGCAUCUUGUUCACUCCCUCUUGCUCUCUUCUUCCCUCCCUCUUUGUGUCUCUUUGUGUGUGUCCUGUUAUUUUAGCUCUUGGUUGAGGGGCUCUCGAAACCAAAGGCAUCUGAUCCCCAGGAGCUAGAGUUAAAGAUGGUUGUGAGCCACCUGCAAUGAGUACUAGAAUUUGAAUUUUGGUCCUCUCUCUGCAAGAGCCUUACACACUCUUAUCUACUAAGCCAUCUCUCUAGCUUUGAGAAGAACAUUUUAAACUAGGGAUAAAGACAUUGUUAGAGUCCAGUACAAUGCCGAAGUCACCUAUCAUUUCCACAACAGCAGAUAAUUCAGGAUUUUGUCAUGUUCACAGCUGAUGACUCUGAGUUAGAUACACACCCAGCAGUUACCCAGUCUCAGGUUCUACCAUUAUGUCACAGAGGGUGUGAUGUUAGUUUAAAUUGUCAACUAGACACAACUUAGAAUCACCUGGGAAAAGACUGUCAUUGAGGGAAUUUCUACAUCAGGCUAGCCUGUGGGCAGAUUUUU
rnacentral:lncRNA from 1 species